GUGCUUAUUUCACUGUCUAACCCUGCCCAGGCCCCGGGGAGAAGCCUGGUAUUCUUCGUGUUUAUUUAAUUGUCAACUCUCUGUGUUCUAAGACGAUACCCUGGCCUUGACUCAGUACAACCUAGGACUGUAAGUCCCAUCAUGUCUAUGGACUUCAGUUUCCAGACAUGAAACACAAGAGGCUUGGACGAGAUUAGAAAUCAAGAACUCGAAUGCGUAUGGUCAGAGCCACGAGAGUUUCCAUAAAGGAACACAACCAUGUGGACAACUUGAUUAUGCCCUACAAAACGGAAUUCCUGUGAGCAUUCCUCUUCAAGAUGGAAGAAAAAGGGAAUAUUUCACAACCCCAAUGGUGAAACGUCUGCCUAUAGCCAACAAUACAAUCUCCAUCCAUGUAUGAUGUGACUUGCUCCUACAUGCCUUCCACCAUGAUUAUGAGGCCUCCUGAGCCAUGUGGAACUGUGCUCAGCACUGAAUAGAAAGCCUGGCGCCAGUUCUGGAGGCUGGGAAGUCCACAAUCAAAGCACUAGCAUAUGAUGUCUGGUAAGGGCCUGGUCUCUGCUUCCAAGAUGGUGCCUUGAAUGUUGUACCCUCCA
rnacentral:lncRNA from 1 species